rnacentral:rRNA from 1 species
GUUUGCAAUUGACGGUUACCCUCUGAAAGAAGCACCGGCUAACUCCGUGCCAGCAGCCGCGGUAAUACGGGGGGUGCAAGCGUUACUCGGAAUCAUUGGGCGUAAAGGGCGCGUAGGCGGCCUGGUAAGUCAGGUGUGAAAGCCCGGGGCUCAACCCCGGAAGUGCAUUUUGAUACUGUCAGGCUUGAGUAUGGGAGAGGGAAGUGGAAUUCCUGGUGUAGAGGUGAAAUUCGUAGAUAUCAGGAGGAACACCGGUGGCGAAGGCGACUUCCUGGACCAAUACUGACGCUGAGGCGCGAAGGCGUGGGGAGCAAACAGGGAUUAGAUACCCUGGUAGUCCACGCAGUAAACUUUGUUCACUAGGUGUAGCGGGUAUUGACCCCUGCUGUGCCGAAGCUAACGCAUUAAGUGAACCGCCCUGGAAGUACGGCCCGCAAGGUUAAAACUCCAAAGGAAUUGACGGGGGUCCGCACAAGCGGUGGAGUAUGUGGUUUAAUUCGACGCAAACGCGGAAGAACCUUACCUAGGUUUGACAUCUGGGGAACUUUCUAUGAAAGUAGAAGGUGCCUUUCGGGGAGCCCCAAGACAGGUGCUGCAUGGCUGUCGUCAGCUCGUGUCGUGAGAUGUUGGGUUAAGUCCCGCAACGAGCGCAACCCCUAUCUUUAGUUACCAUCGAUCCGGUCGGGGACUCUAAAGAUACUGCCUCGGUUAACGGGGAGGAAGGUGGGGAUGACGUCAAGUCCUCAUGGCCUUUAUGCCUAGGGCUACACACGUACUACAAUGGACGGAACAAAGGGUCGCGAUACUGAGAGGUGGAGCUAAUCCCAAAAACCCGUCCCAAGUUCGGAUUGGAGUCUGCAACUCGACUCCAUGAAGUUGGAAUCGCUAGUAAUCGCGGAUCAGCAUGCCGCGGUAAACGUCCGGG